ACUAACUAGGAUCAAAAGAUUCGUCUUGUGAUUUACAGCUAAACUGUGUAAUUAGUUUUUAUUUUCGUUUAUAUUUAAUGUUUCAUACAUGUGCUACAAGAUUCGAUGUGACGGGCAAUCUUGAAAACUUUUUGGUUUUCAAAGUGAACUAAACAAGACCCAAACCAUUGCCCCUGCACAGUCUUCGUAAAGCACACCGCCUUCUCUACACAAAAAGUAAAGUCACCGCUAGCUUUUUAAACCACUGUCACCCUCUUCCCGGGUAGGCACAGC
rnacentral:lncRNA from 1 species